rnacentral:rRNA from 1 species
UACGAAGGGGGCUAGCGUUGCUCGGAAUCACUGGGCGUAAAGCGCACGUAGGCGGAUUGUUAAGUCAGGGGUGAAAUCCUGGAGCUCAACUCCAGAACUGCCUUUGAUACUGGCGAUCUUGAGUCCGGGAGAGGUGAGUGGAACUGCGAGUGUAGAGGUGAAAUCGUAGAUAUUCGCAAGAACACCAGUGGCGAAGGCGGCUCACUGGCCCGGUACUGACGCUGAGGUGCGAAAGCGUGGGGAGCAAACAGG